GCAUCGGUGGUGUACGGAACACGCACCAAUAUAAUAGUUCCAUGUCCUUUGGGAUUAUAAUGGUGAGACGGGGUUCGAUUCCCCGCCGGUACA